CAGUAAGGUUUUCUGAAGCUUUCUUUCCACCAGGGAAGACUGCAAAGGCCAGAGAUCAUUUUCACAACUAAAGGUCGUCAUCUGGGCAAAUGAACCACUCUGACUUGGAGAUUAGGGGCUCAGACAGCCGUGGAUGAGAGUCCAGCUCUACUACUUAUUAGCCUUGAUUAGACUGUGAGAGGGAUGGGAAAGACUGGUGCUUGGGGUGGCCAUCUGACCCCUGAUGGACAGGAGACCAGGACAAGCCCACUGGAUGAGCCGGAGGGGUCCAGGAGGAGGGAGUUGAGAGCUCCUGCUAGGGUUGACACAUUCUGGUAAGGAGUUCAUCUGCUGUCCACCAGGGGAGACAAUAAAAAGGUCAACACAGCUCCCACCUCGAAGCAGCUGCCAGUUUAUUACAUGAAGUGUCAGGCUGUGGACUGCAGGCAUGCCAUUUUGUCUUCAAGAACAGAAUUCCCGGGCACACGAAUGAUUCCAGGGUUCCUCCAGCACUUUGGUAUUACUUGAAAGCAAUCUUAAGGGAUCUAGAAUGAACCAACGCCCAAAAAGGAUCCCUUAGCAGCGGUGAUAUCAAAGAAACACUUUUGAAGAACUAAUUUUCCACCCAGAUUUCCCCAAUUUUAAAAGCAAUGGGCAAAGCCUUCUCCACUCCUAAACUUCCUGGAACUGUCUUUUGGCUAUAUCAGGCCCCUGAAGUUAGAGUCUUUGAAAGACUCCAAACUCCAAAUUCUAUGCUUUUAUUCUCAGGCUCCUCAUAAUUCUACAGCACACCAGACUGCUGACCACUCUCCGUACCACUUUUAAAUUAUUUCUUCCCACAGCUUUCUUAACAAUGAACCUUUGAAAUCUUUUUAGUUUUCCAUUUAUUUUGCUACCUUUCCUCUGUCCUAGCUCUAAAAUGAAGAUCCUCUAAGGUUCUACAGUUUACUUCUUGUAUUCUCCUUUGUAAGUCAUCUCCAAGACGAUGUCCAAAUCCAUCACCAUUAAAAUUAAUAGUUUCCUCACCCACAACACUUAAUAUUUUAAAAAAAAUACUUUUCAUUGUAUUAUAAUUACUUGAUACAUACAUAUUUGCUCUGUGAGUUCCUUAUUCAUCAUAUUAGUGCCUGACAAUAAAUGUGUGCUGGAUUGAGCUGAAUCUUUA
rnacentral:lncRNA from 1 species